AUUGAACGCUGGCGGCAGGCCUAACACAUGCAAGUCGAACGGUAACAGGAAGAAGCUUGCUUCUUUGCUGACGAGUGGCGGACGGGUGAGUAAUGUCUGGGAAACUGCCUGAUGGAGGGGGAUAACUACUGGAAACGGUAGCUAAUACCGCAUAACGUCGCAAGACCAAAAAGGGGGACCUUCGGGCCUCUUGCCAUCGGAUGUGCCCAGAUGGGAUUAGCUAGUAGGUGGGUAACGGCUCACCUAGGCGACGAUCCCUAGCUGGUCUGAGAGGAUGACCAGCCACACUGGAACUGAGACACGGUCCAGACUCCUACGGGAGGCAGCAGUGGGAAUAUUGCACAAUGGGCGCAAGCCUGAUGCAGCCAUGCCGCGUGUAUG
rnacentral:rRNA from 1 species